AGAGAGGCUUGGUGGUGAAGAGAGAAGAGAGUGGAGAAAUAAAACCUUAACUUCCAUCACCUUUAAAUCUCCAUAAUUUUUGUUCCAGAGCUCUGAUUGACGAGUCAUUUGUGGCCAUGUGUUCAUCUCGGAAUCCUCUUCAAUUCUAUCUAAAUAGUUUGGAGUUCUCUAACUUGUGUUCCAUCACUAAUUUCAGUAGGUAAAGGUAAAAAACUCUUUUUCUCUCUUGGUUCAUCAAUUAUUAUGAGCCUUAAUUUUGAUAUUGUGCCACAUUAUAUGAUACGGUGUUAGAUUGAGUAAUUAGAAGCUUGGCUUUGUGGAACUUGGGAAAGGAAAGUUUGGAAGUUUGGAAUUGCGACAUUAAGGUAUAUGUUGUAGUUUUGACUAGGUAUUAUGUAAGGCUAUUUGAAAAUCUAGGUUACUUGCCCUGAUUGUUGAUAUACUUGAAUAAUGGUUAGUAUGAGUAUUGUGUUAGUUAAUGUAUUUUGGUAUAAAAUUGAGAAUGAUAAUAAUGAGUUUUGGGAUGAAUUGAGAAGUGUUAUGCGUUGUUGUUACAAUUGGACAUUAUAAUAUAUGUUGGUAUGAUUGAAAUUGUGUUGAAAUGAAAUGUGGUUUGAUUUUUAUAAAGGUGAUAGAUGUGGAUUUGGGCCGAAGGCCAUGGUAGGGUGAGAAAUUCUCUAUGUGGUACAUUGAGGUAAGUGGCAUGAAAUGUUGUAUGAGAAUGAGAUAUUUGAUGAUGAUUGGUUGUGAAUUUUGUUUGUAUGAGUGUGUAUAUUAAGAUUGUCUUGAGAAAUUGAUUAAAUGGGUGUUGAAUGAUUAGAAAAAGUAGAGAAUUGAUAAAUGUAUAUUGAGGGAGUUUAGAAGUGGUAUUGGAAUGGUUUUGAACUGAAUCGGAACUGGAAUUGGUGAAAAUUGUUAUGCAAAAAUUUUUGGGUAAAAUGGAUUUUUGAUGACAUUCGAUGGGCCAUAACUUGGCCCUUGAACUUCUGAAUUCUGUGGAACUUGUUUUAAAUGAAAAUUGGGCUUGUCUAUUUUAUGACGUUCGAAGAACAGACGAAAAAUCAUUUUUAACAAAAAAGUUAUGAACGUUUGAAAAUCUGGUUUCAAAAUUGAAUUUUGUAGAAGUUGCAGAAUUUUGAGAUCAUGUGUACGCAUGAUGGGCAUUCCAAAAUUUAAAAGAUUUCUUACGAGUACCAUGUGAAUACCAUGCGUGAGUGCAAAAGUGGACUUGUGCGUAUGCAUGAGGCAUGCGUACGCAAGACCACCAUGCUUUUAGAAAAUAUGUUUUUAAAUAUUUUAACCUAUCCAAUCUACUUUAAACCCCCAUAAGCCCCAAUUAAGGUCUGAUAGCUAGUUUUUAGACUUUGAAAUGAGUGCGAACAUAUUGAAUGGGUAAAUUGAUAUUAAAGGAGAUUGUGGAGUGGAAGAUUUAUAUUAAUAAUGGGUAAAUAUUAUUGAAAUGAGAUGAUGAUUACAAAGAUUAUGUGUAUAUGUAUAUCUAUGAAUACUUGAGAGGUCGAGAUAUGAUUGAGGGCGAUAAUGAUUUUGAUGAAUUGUAUGUGAUUGAAAAUCAAUUGAUAUGUGUUUAAGCUCUCCAGAUAGAUGCAGUGGUUCGCCCCACUUGCUCCAUGUUGAGAUUAGAAUGAAUUAGAAGUAAUUGAAGAGGAUGAGUUGGCAUGAUUGGGUAAAAAAGAAGAGUUUGAUUGAAAUUAUUUGAGCUCUCUGGGUGGAUGCAAAGGUAUAGUUUGCCCCGCUUACUCCAGGUUGAGAUGAUUUGAUCUCCCUAGGUAGAUACAAGAGUGUUCUUCGCCUCACUUGCUCCUAGUUGAGAUGAUUUGAGCUCUCCGAGUAGAUGUAGAGAUUCGUCCCACUUACUCCGGGUUGAGAUUGAGCUUCCCGAGUAGACGCAAAUAUUGUGGUUUUGUCCCGCUUCCUCCGGGUUGGUAUUUGUUGACCCUCUGUCGCAAGAUGUGGUCGAACACUUAGACCUUUUCGGAUAAUUCCUCCAAGGGAAGUGAAUUUCCCCUGGGGUUGCACGCACUGAGUGACUAUCUAAGGUUCGCUACCAGACAUGUUGGGUUUGGCUAUAUAACCGACAGAUGAGUUCAUUGGCCAUAGGACAGACAUGCAUAAUUUGCAUUUGUAUGUAUUAUUUAAGUGUGCAUCUUGUAUUUGGUUUGCCUUCUUGAUUAACCGUAUCUAUAUGCUAUUUGAUCCAAUUACUUUAUGUGUUCUCUCUACUUGUAUUGCUUUGUAUGUGUUUGAACAAUUGAGAGAUCUUUCAUGCUGACAGUGGUGACGCUGAGGGUUGUUCUUGAUGAGAACGUGGUGGUUGGAGGUUUGUGGAUAAUUGAGUUUCGAUCCUGAGUUGCUGAAUCAUAUGCUGAUAGACUGUAAUAUUGAAAAAAAGGAAGGCUAAGAGGUGUUGUGAAGGACUGAGAUUAUAAAUUUCUAGUACAGUGGUACGCUUAGUUUAAUUAUCCUAUUUUUGGUUUAGUGAGACCCCUAUGCUUGAAUCAAUGAGAUGUUGGAGAUUAGGAUUGUCUAGUAGGUUCAUGUAGUUUUACAUAGUCUCUAUUUAGAAUUAUUGCCCUACUGAGAACCCUGUAAAGGAUGAUGUUCUCACCUGUUGUGGAAAUUAUUACUUUUCAGAUGCAGGUCCCGACGCUCCUCAAUGAGCGGGAGGUUUAUGUGAAAGACAGUGAAGAAGAUAUUUUAUUCUAUUUUGAAUUUAGAUUCUCUCAUCCUUUUGGAAAAGAACUUAUAUGAUGUAUUUAUUAUGAAAACUUGUCUUUAGAGGCUUAUGAUGUAUUUUGGAGAGAUAGGGUAUGUUUAUCAAACUGUUUCAUUGUGGUAACUCUAGCCGGUCUAAUCUUCGCGAGUCGAGACUAGUAGAUAUUUUUAUAUACUUAUAUAUGUCUCUUACUCUUAUUCUUUC